UACAGAGGUCUCAAGCGUUGUUCGGAUUCAUUGGGCGUAAAGGGUGCGUAGGUGGCGCCAUAAGUCAGGUGUGAAAUCUCGGGGCUUAACUCCGAAACUGCAUUUGAUACUGUGGUGCUUGAGGACUGGAGAGGAGACUGGAAUUCACGGUGUAGCAGUGAAAUGCGUAGAGAUCAUGAGGAAGACCAGUGGCGAAGGCGGGUCUCUGGACAGUUCCUGACACUGAGACACGAAGGCCAGGGGAGCAAACGGG
rnacentral:rRNA from 1 species